UGUCAGUAACUACCUUUCAUAAUGGGAAAAUGUAUAUUUUUUGGGAGGAUAGCUCCUAAACUCUUUGCUUGUUAACAUUUAUUAUUUAUAUUUCUUCUAGAUGUGUGUAUAAGGUUGCCAGCGUGUAAUCGUUAGGCCGCUACUGUACAAGAACUUCAAAGACAUCUUUAAGACUGAAUGUAUCUUUAGGAAUUAACGGGACGGGAAGUCAUCUGAGAGGACGAAGUCUGACUGGAUGGAAGCUGUCCAGGUCUUGUUAAACAAGGCUUAAGCUACUCUUUAUAUGUAUUUCUCUUUGGGUAUAAGCGGUUAGUUAUCAUCCUGUGCUUCACACGGCUAAAGUAGGAAUAAAUCGAUCGACGAUUAUGCAACUAGCAUGAACAGAGCCUACGUAGAUCGUUCUGGGUGAAAGUAAUAGUUAGUUGACGUCGAUCGAAGAGGGUGUAACUAGAAUAUAGUUGCACCCUCAACGAUCGAUGUAGGACUCAAAUGACCCGAAUCUACAUCGAUCGACGAGGGUGCAACUAGAAAUAAGUCCAACAUCGAUCUAGGAGGGUGGAAAUAGGAUGAACCGAACUUACAAUUGUGGUUAAAGAAAUUUGAAGCGAAGAAGAAGUAAAUUAAAGUUGAUUAAAGGAGAAAUUGAAAGAAA